rnacentral:rRNA from 1 species
CGAUGAACCCAACUUCGGUGGGGGAUUAGUGGCGAACGGGUGAGUAACACGUGGGCAAUCUGCCCUUCACUCUGGGACAAGCCCUGGAAACGGGGUCUAAUACCGGAUAUGACCACUUCAGGCAUCUGAUGGUGGUGGAAAGCUCCGGCGGUGAAGGAUGAGCCCGCGGCCUAUCAGCUUGUUGGUGAGGUAAUGGCUCACCAAGGCGACGACGGGUAGCCGGCCUGAGAGGGCGACCGGCCACACUGGGACUGAGACACGGCCCAGACUCCUACGGGAGGCAGCAGUGGGGAAUAUUGCACAAUGGGCGAAAGCCUGAUGCAGCGACGCCGCGUGAGGGAUGACGGCCUUCGGGUUGUAAACCUCUUUCAGCAGGGAAGAAGCGCAAGUGACGGUACCUGCAGAAGAAGCGCCGGCUAACUACGUGCCAGCAGCCGCGGUAAUACGUAGGGCGCAAGCGUUGUCCGGAAUUAUUGGGCGUAAAGAGCUCGUAGGCGGCUUGUCGCGUCGGAUGUGAAAGCCCGGGGCUUAACCCCGGGUCUGCAUUCGAUACGGGCAGGCUAGAGUGUGGUAGGGGAGAUCGGAAUUCCUGGUGUAGCGGUGAAAUGCGCAGAUAUCAGGAGGAACACCGGUGGCGAAGGCGGAUCUCUGGGCCAUUACUGACGCUGAGGAGCGAAAGCGUGGGGAGCGAACAGGAUUAGAUACCCUGGUAGUCCACGCCGUAAACGUUGGGAACUAGGUGUUGGCGACAUUCCACGUCGUCGGUGCCGCAGCUAACGCAUUAAGUUCCCCGCCUGGGGAGUACGGCC